UACGUAGGUGGCAAGCGUUGUCCGGAUUUACUGGGCGUAAAGAGCGCGCAGGCGGUCGUUCAAGUCGAGUGUGAAAGCCCCCGGCUCAACUGGGGAGGGUCACUCGAUACUGAUCGACUCGAAGGCAGAAGAGGGAAGCGGAAUUCCCGGUGUAGUGGUGAAAUGCGUAGAUAUCGGGAGGAACACCAGUGGCGAAGGCGGCGAUCUGGACGAUGACUGACGCUGAGACGCGAAAGCGUGGGGAGCAAACAGG
rnacentral:rRNA from 1 species